ensembl:lncRNA
CAGGAUCAUCAGGUCUACAGUGAAGUCAACAUGAAGACUCUCAGCCUGACAGUGGGACUGCUGCUCGUGCUGUUCACCGUUUACCACAGCGAUGCCUCUAAGGCAGUGAAUUCACUUGAUUUUUGCUGUUUUCACUUCUUUGACAAACGCAUCCCAAAGGAGAACAUCGUCUCCAUCGUGAAAACUCACAGUCAGUGCUCCACACCAGCAUUUGUGAUCAAGACACCCAGAGGGCUUUUCUGUGUGAAACAGACUGUGAAGUGGGCAAUGGAACAAUUUGUCAAACAAGAGAGAGCGAAAAUUGAACCAAUGCUACAGUUAACACUUCAAAAAUCACAAAAUACUGAUCAAGACACCCAGAAGGCUUUUCUGUGUGAAACAGACUGAGGAUUGGGCAGUGAGAGAAUUUCAGCGCGGCGUGGAUCGAUACAUUCCCCCUGUCCCUAAAAAGCCCCCCCUUCCCUCAUCAGCCCCCUGUCCCUCGAACACCGGCUGAACCUAAAAAGCCCCCUGUACCUCAAACGCAAACCCACUCUCUGGUCUACAUGAAGCAGCUGUUCUCAACUGAGCGUCCCAGCUCUCUUAACACAGAGGGGAGUCACCAUGAAUCAAAGUUAAAUAAUAAUAAAGGAUCAACAGUGACUGAAGAACAUCAAGACAAACUGACAAGUUUUUGUUGCAUCUGCUUGAAAUGACAGGAUGUGUGCUGUAAAACACACAGACAAUCCAAGGUAUAGUGAUUACUCAUCACACAAACAUUUAAAUAGAAAUUGAAAUUUUAAACAAUUUCUUUUCUUGUCAUUGAUAAGUGACAGCAGCUUUACUGUUUGUCUUUAUUGCUCUAUAAUGAUGAAAAACUCUGAAAUCAUCCAGAAAUGCUGCAAAUAUUUGACUUAUUAAAAUAUCAUGUGUUUUCUGAGUGUAUAAAAAGAAGUGCACACAUUGGGAGUUAUAGCACAACUUUUCAACUGUAAUAUUAACCACGGGCCACUGAGCAGCUUCCAGUAUGUACACAAUAUAUAUGCAUUACCAUCAUAAACAAAUCCAUACAGGUAGUAUGUCAUACGCUGAAGACGUAAUCUUCGUGUCUUUUGCUAUAAAUGCAGACUGAAAAACUAAAACAUUUAAGAAAGCUACAAGGGAAUUAAAGAGUCUUUCUUCAGAUGUACAUAGAGUAUUAUUAAUACAAUCAUUAUCAUAUGAAAACAAAUCUGGAAUUUUUCAAUUCAGAAUUUUUUAUCAGUGAAUUUGUAGCAAUGAGCAGCAGAAAGAUGUCUGGACACUUUAACUCUGAAGGUUUGAAAUCCAAAACGGAAAAAGUAGCUUAUGCUACAUAGGUGUAAACAGAUUUUAAGUUUCCUGUCACAAAUGUGGGCACGUCUAACGUUCAGACUGAUGAACACGGUCAGAGAGCAACUGUGAGUUCAGCAUAUUUCCCGAGGAAACUUUGGCAUGCAGACUGGAGCAGCCAGGGAUUUAAGCACCGACCUGUUGAUCAGCUAGACGACCUGUUUGUCUCUGACAUACAGACAGCUAAACCCAACUGUUAAAUAAAUGGAUCAGUGGUACCAGCAGUCUGCAUGCCUAUGAUUCAUUUUUUUUAUUAUUAUAUUAUUUAUAAUUUAAAAAAAUAAAUAAAUAAAAUGAAAUUAAAUGCCUUAUGUGGGCCGAUCUGACAGCUCUCAAUGAGAUGGUCCUAUUCCUCCUUUACUGCCUCUUUGAUACAAACACUAAUGCAGUGGUGUCCAAACCCAGGCCUCGAGGGCCGGUGUCCUGCAGAUUUUAGAUGUGUCCUUGAUCCAAAACAGCUGAUUUAAAUGGGUAAAUUACC